AAAGGCAGGGGAUUCUCGCACGCAGUUCCUAUCCUGUACCCCAUUCCACUCCUUUCAGGGGUAGGAUUAAGUCUCGUCUGUGGGUCAAAUCUGUGGAGUCCGGAGCUUUGGGCUGACUGCUCUAUCUCUACUUCCUAUUGCAUGCAGGUUUGUUUCUGCCUCUGUGCUUGCUUCCUUUGGUUCCACCACCCCCACCCCAGUCCCUCAGCACUCAUCCGCAGCAAUCUCGAGAGUAGUGACUGCAGGUUAAUCCCCGGAGGUCUCCGCUUCUGUUCAAGCUUUAGGCUCAGCGCUUUACGCCAGCACUCUAGCAAACUACUGAGUUGGACCUGAGGGACUCUUGAUCACUUCCUUUAAACAAUUUUGAAAGGGACUGCAGCUCCUCGGUGCCUAGUCCACUGUGGUCCAGUGUUUCCGGGAGAAUGGACGAGAUGCUGUGUUUUACAGUGUUAAAUGGAACAGAUUGGGGUGAAAAACACUUUAUGGGAAAGUAGUUUACUGUUCAACCUCCUGCAAUCAGAAACACCCAGAAGUAGCAAGACGUAGAUCAGAUAAGGGUGGAUAAACAGAGGUAAGGGGAAUGUAAAAACAAUUGGAACACGGCUUUGCUUUGGAAAGCUGAAAUGAAGUGCCAUCCAUGGGACUCAGAAAAAUACCACAGAGGAGCUGAUGAGAGAGGGGAAGGAGGAGAGAGAGAGAAACAUUGAUAUGAGAAAGAAACAUCGAUGGGCUGCCUCCUGUACAAACCCAGGACGGGAACAAACCUGCAACCUAAUCCUGGAAGGCGGGUUUCCAAGCAGCAUGAUGCUGAAUGAGAUCACGCACACCCAAAUGGAGUUGAUCCUUCCUUCUCUGGUCAGCUCCAGAUCAACAGUGGCUGUCUCCGACUCCAGCAGCAGACCUGCAGAAAGAAUGAUUCAUAUCCACCUUGGUUUUCCACACU